GUGUAAUGAUAUUGGUUAAAAUAUUGUAUUGUCCUGUAUCCCAUCAGGUCCAGAGGGGGUUGUCCCUGGACCUAUGGACUUGCAUAAAUUGCCAUGCCUGCGUGUCAUUAAAGCCAGUUCGUUUUGACCCUCAAAUCGCAGCCUCGACUCGUUUUGUAGGGAAGAGUGUAUCCUAGCUGUACCAUAGCUAGUGGGAUUGUUUCAAAUUUGCAGGAUUAUCGUGGGAUGCUGACAAGAGCGGCUCUUCUC